UUUGCUACCAUCCGGCAGACAUGUAUGUAUCAGACUGGGUUCAUUUUUGUAUAAUUUGUAACCACCAUUGCCUUUUGUAACUGUGGCUUUGUGGUGCCUUGGUCCUCGCACAGUUGGUUGGCCUGUGUCUUUUCUCAUUUUUUCAUCUUCCUUACUGUUGCACUGUCGGACCAGCCUGGUUAUGAUGAUUUGCAGCAGCAGUUGGCAUCGCAUGCAGUGUGCAACCGCGGCACACAAUGCAGGCACCACGGAGACGCUAAUGCAUGUGGAGAAAUGGAAAACAAUGUUUGCAAGAUGAAUACAUGACUUCUGCAAAACCACACCUAAUGUUCAAAGACCACAGAUUAAAAAAAGAUACAAGUAAAAUAUAGAAUUAAUGCACGUUCCUGAAAGAUCCUUCUUGCAAACGGCAUGUAGGUUCCGGUGGGUUGAAAUACAAUUGUAUCUCAACCCAUCUGUGUGAAACUGAAGGAUUAGGAUGUCAGAGAAUCAGCAAAUGUUGAAAGUGAUCUUGUUGUUGAAGGGUUAGAUGAGUACGCAACCUCUUUUCCUGGUUCACAUUACAGAGAACAUCCAGCUGCCCACCAAUGCUCACCUGUCUAACCUGUCUUUAUAUCAUUCCACCCAUUGGGUGACCUCAAUCCUACUUAUGCCCUUGUUAUCAUGAGUUGUCAUAGAACAUAUGUUCACAAGGCGGCCAUUUUCCUCUGACAUCACGCUCAGGGUGCGACGUUCAAACGUGGUACUGCUGUGUUCCAGCCAUACUUUGUAUUAAUCUGAAUCUGUAGAAGAGCUAAUGGCUAACAAAAGCAUUCCAGUUGCAAGCUGACAUUAUUGCUCAUCCAGUGCAUUUCACUCCCAGGCCGAUUGAAUGUGUCCAAGAUGUGGCCUGAUGUCUUUAGGAUACAUUUACAGCUUUCCUGUUUGACUGUGCAAGACUAUCAAACAGUAACGCUAGCUAGAAAGUGUUUGAAGCAAUGGAUCAUCAAAUAUUACCUGGAAAUACAGGCCGAAGUCCCUCCAAAUUUGCAGUAGUCUUUCAGUAGCUGAUCAGUACAGAAGUGGUGAAAUGAUUACGACUCUAAGAUUCCUCACCCUGACUGUGGCAUUACAGAAAAAUGGCCGCUGUGUGUAUAUGGCCUAUUGCCUACAACUUUAACCACUAUUUCAUUAUAUAUCCAUUUAGUUAAGUAACCAGCUGUGACGGCGUCGACUAGUAACGUUUUCAUGUUGUGAGUCCCUGUAGUGUAAUCGUGGUGAGAUGUGGUUCUGGAGACACCGACUGUAGCAGGAACUACCACAGAAGCAGUUCUGAGAAUGUUUCCAAGUGUUGGUAUGUCCUUCUGUUGAAAUCCAAAAGAGGGCUGAGUCCAGAAUGCCUGUGGUCCGAGAGGGGGGCCAAAAUUAGAAGGGUGUCCGGCUCAUGUUUUACACCCCUGGCCCACAUUCACUUCAAUGCAGUAAAUAAACUUCACAGAUUGUGUAUAUGAGAGGGAAAUAAAGGCAGAAUUAUAAUGUAUAAUAUAAUGUAGUAAUGACCAUAGAGUGCUCACAGGUGUGAUCCCAUCACAAGAUGAUCUCUUUUAUUUAUUUGCAGGCAUACUUCACUGUCAGGUGCUUAAAGUUAAUAUGUGGUUUUACAAAAAGAAAUGAUUUUGUGAUUAGAAUUAUGACACAGAAUUCAUGAGGGUCCUCCGAGCAGGAUUUCUGGGGAUUUCUACUGUAGACACUUUUUUAAAAAAAGCUCAAGACCCAUUUGUUCAGAUGUGCCAUUGUGUAAUUUUUCUAUUUUUUUAAUCUCUGUUUUUUUUUUUUUACCUGUAUAACAUAGAUUAUUGUCCCUGUGAAGCACUUUAUGACAUCUCUGCUCUCAAAAGGUGCUAUGUAAAUAAAGAUACUUACUGUUGAUUAUUUCAGUCUGUCAAUGGCAAUAUGCAUAGCACAAAAUAACAAUAAUAAUGAUAAUUUGUAUCAUUGCUUCUUGAUCAUGAAGUUAAAUAAUGUUGGCAACCUAUGUGUGACUGUAUGUGAACACAGCUAUUCCUUGAAUGUGCCUAUAAAAGGUGAGGAGAUCACAGAAAGCACACACUUUGGUGAAAUUGAGGGUUUAUAACAACAAAAGCACAUAGAAGAUCGUGUUCAAGGAAAACAAUUCCACAAACCCCAAAUCUGAUCUGUACGUGGAGCGGAGGGGAUAUAGGGUUUCCCCAUUGUGAAAGAAUGGUACAGUUUGUGCGGUUUCGGUGAAAUUAUCACCGCUACAUGGGAGACCAACUUCAUUUAAAGUUUGGAGUCAGUUUGUUUGCAGUGUGUCAGAAAGUGCUGCUCUUGUCUGGCCGGUAAUGCCUGCUGGGCCUC